GCAGAGACAUGUUUCUGAGACAGCCGACUAUGUGACACUCUGAUUUCACAGCCCUGACUUCCCCACCUGUGGAACGUGUAGGGUUAUUUGCCUAAGAUGCGACCAUGCCAUCCAGGCUUCUCCACACCCUGGCAAGUUUACACAGCAUAUCAGCAAAGGCUCAUCAGUGCCAGAGACUUACUUGGCUUACAUUAAGACCACUUAGGAAAUCUGAAAGUACAACAUGCCACAAUGGCCUGACAAUACAGCAACAUUUACACUCAUUCUUUCCAAGUAUAACAGCUGACAGUUUGAAUAAGCCAGAGAUCCUGGAAAUGAGCCGGAUAACAUCAGACACAAGCAGACUCUUUCCGUUAAAUGCUGUCCAUUGGUUGGACGGCAAAGAACACUGGCCAAGCAUGCACCCCUUUGGGACUCACAGGAGCAUGAUCCACAAACCAAAUCUCUUGUGUUCUAAGUGGUUUAUAAAAGCAGUAAAGAGGCAUCACUCAUCUGUAUCAAAUGAAGCACUUGUUCCCAAACAAGACCUUCCGCAGAUCAAGAGGCCGCUGAGAGCAUCCCGGACCCGGCAGCCAUCCAGGACCAACCUUCCAGAUCUGUCUGUGAAUGAGGACCUGAUGCAGUGCACAGCAUUUGCAACCGCAGAUGAGUAUCACCUGGGAAGUCUGUCUCAAGAGCUGGUCUCCUGUGGCUAUGUGGAAGUGACAAGCCUGCCUAGAGAUGCAGCAAAUAUUUUGGUGAUGGGUGUGGAAAGUUCUGCAAAAGAAGGUGAUCCCGGAACAAUAUUCUUGUUCAGGGAAGGAGCUGCUGUGUUCUGGAAUGUAAAAGAAAAAACUAUGAAGCACGUGAUGCAAGUUCUAGAGAGACACGAAACCCAGCCCUAUGAAGUGGCUCUCGUUCACUGGGAGAACGAAGAACUCAACUACAUAAAGACAGAGGGACAAUCAAAACUGCACAGAGGGGAAAUCAAGCUAAACUCUGAGCUGAACUUGGAUGACGCCAUUCUAGAGAAGUUUGCGUUCUCCAACGCUCUCUGCCUCUCAGUGAAGCUGGCUAUUUGGGAAGCAACCCUGGACAAAUUUAUUGAGUCUAUUCAGUCCAUUCCAGAGGCAUUAAAAGCUGGGAAGAAAGUCAAACUGUCUCAUAAAGAAGUUAUGCAGAAAAUGGGUGAGCUCUUUGCCCUCAGGCACCGAAUAAACCUGAGCUCAGAUUUCUUGAUCACCCCUGACUUCUACUGGGACAGAGCGAACCUGGAAGAGCUUUAUGACAAGACCUGCCAGUUCCUUAGCAUCACGUGAAGAGUUAAGGUCAUGAAUGAAAAACUGCAGCACUGCAUGGAACUAACAGACCUAAUGCGGAAUCACCUCAAUGAGAAGCGAGCACUCCGCUUGGAGUGGAUGAUCGUCAUCCUCAUCACCAUUGAGGUAAUGUUUGAGCUGGGGAGAGUCUUCUUCUGACCUUGUGAUCAUGAAAGCACCACACUGGCAAGAGAGAAGUCAAGUUCUGAACCAGCAAAGCCAGCGUUCACUACUGGUGACUCUUACUCUACCCUCUAAGUCAAGGGGCUGUCAGUGCGCAGGGGACACACCUAGAACCUCAGGAAGCUGAAGCAGGCAGAUCCUGAGGUCCAGAGCAGCCCUGGCUACACAGGGAAACACACUCAUCUCUGCACUGGAAAAGCAGAGGCAGACUGCCCAGUUUGAGGCCAACAAUAACACAGCAGGACUGUCUCAAAAUGAAACACAAAUGACAUAAAAAAAAAA